rnacentral:misc_RNA from 1 species
GAUGAAGAACGUAGCGAAAUGCGAUACGUAAUGUGAAUUGCAGAAUUCAGUGAAUCAUCGAGUCUUUGAACGCACAUUGCGCCCCCUGGUAUUCCGGGGGGCAUGCCUGUCCGAGCGUCAUUGCUGCCCUCAAGCACGGCUUGUGUGUUGGGCCUCCGUCCUCCUCCCGGGGGACGGGCCCGAAAGGCAGCGGCGGCACCGCGUCCGGUCCUCGAGCGUAUGGGGCUUCGUCACCCGCUCUUGUAGGCCCGGCCGGCGCUUGCCGACACAUCAAUCCUUUUUUCCAGGUUGACCUCGGAUCAGGUAGGGAUACCCGCUGAACUUAAGCAUAUCAAUAAGCGGAGGA